rnacentral:rRNA from 1 species
CAAGCGUUGUCCGGAAUUAUUGGGCGUAAAGCGCGCGCAGGCGGUUCCUUAAGUCUGAUGUGAAAGCCCACGGCUCAACCGUGGAGGGUCAUUGGAAACUGGGGGACUUGAGUGCAGAAGAGGAGAGCGGAAUCCACGUGUAGCGGUGAAAUGCGUAGAGAUGUGGAGGAACACCAGUGGCGAAGGCGGCUCUCUGGUCUGUAACUGACGCUGAGGCGCGAAAGCGUGGGGAGCAAACAGGAUUAGAUACCCUGGUAGUCAAGGGCG